rnacentral:rRNA from 1 species
UACGUAGGGUGCGAGCGUUGUCCGGAAUUAUUGGGCGUAAAGAGCUCGUAGGCGGUUCGUCACGUCGGCUGUGAAAUCCCGAGGCUCAACCUCGGGUCUGCAGUCGAUACGGGCGGACUGGAGUACUGCAGGGGAGACUGGAAUUCCUGGUGUAGCGGUGAAAUGCGCAGAUAUCAGGAGGAACACCGGUGGCGAAGGCAGCACUCUGGGACGUGACUGACGCUGAGACGCGAAAGCGUGGGGAGCAAACAGG